GGCCGUCUUUUGGACAACUGUCAAGUCAGCAGUCUUCCCCAUGAUUGUGUAGCCUACAAAACUAGACUAAAAGACCAAUUAAAUGCCUUUGCAGGUGUUUUGAGUUCAUUAGCUGAUUAAAGUGUGGCACCAGGUGUGCACACAUUUAAUAUAAAUGCAACAUUUAUAGAUAAAUGAUUAGCUAAGAGUCUAUGUCAAUUAAUUUUAAUAUUUUAGUAGAUAGGUCUAUAAAUGCACUUAAUGACAGUCAUGUAGAUAUUGGACAUGCCUGGAUGAAACUCCUCUAGGAAGAGGGCAAAGACCCAUACGCUGCCAACACGCAUGUCAUUGCCACAGUCCUCUAGCCUACUCUCCAUGAGCAGGAGCAUAUUGACGAGGACUGAAAAACAAUUAAAAGCAAGUCAUCAACGGAGUCAUCUUUGUUCAUGUUUUUAAUAAAUGGAGUUAAUAAAUAAUAUUGUUGUAUAAAAAUUUUUUGUCUCAUUCUUCUCAGAUGGCCGAAUCAAAAAAAUCUAAACAAAUUUGAAUACCUCCACACUUUUCCUACUACGGAAGGUAGUACAUUAGUGAUGUAACGUCAAGUUCCCUCAAAUCUGUUCUGAAAUUCUGAAGAAGAAACAAACUCCUCUACAUUAUGACCCAAGGGUGAGCACAUUUUCAGCACAUUAUUUUUAUUUUUUUAACUAUUCUUUAAGCUGUAAGUUAACCGAAAAAUCAAAAUUAUGUAAUAA